rnacentral:rRNA from 1 species
UACGUAGGUGGCAAGCGUUAUCCGGAAUUAUUGGGCGUAAAGAGCGCGCAGGUGGUUGAUUAAGUCUGAUGUGAAAGCCCACGGCUUAACCGUGGAGGGUCAUUGGAAACCGGUCGACUUGAGUGCAGAAGAGGGAAGUGGAAUUCCAUGUGUAGCGGUGAAAUGCGUAGAGAUAUGGAGGAACACCAGUGGCGAAGGCGGCUUCCUGGUCUGUAACUGACACUGAGGCGCGAAAGCGUGGGGAGCAAACAGGAUUAGAUACCCCU